UACGGGAGGCAGCAGGGGGAAUAUUGCACAAUGGGCGAAAGCCUGAUGCAGCUAUGCCGCGUGUAUGAAGAAGGCCUUAGGGUUGUAAAGUACUUUCAUCGGGGAGGAAAAACAAAACUAAUAAUUUUAUUUCUUGACGUUACCCGAAAAAGAAGCACCGGCUAACUCCGUGCCAGCAGCCGCGGUAAUACGGAGGGUGCUAGCGUUAAUCAGAAUUACUGGGCGUAAAGAGCACGUAGGUGGUUUUUUUAAAGUCAGAUGUGAAAUCCCUGGGCUUAACCUGGAACUGCAUUUUGAAACUGAAAUACUAGAGUAUCGUAGAGGGAGGUAGAAUUCUAGGUGUAGCGGUGAAAUGCGUAGAUAUCUGGAGGAAUACCUGUGGCGAAAGCGGCCUCCUAAACGAAUACUGACACUGAGGGUGCGAAAGCGUGGGGAGCAAACGAGGGAUUAGAUACC
rnacentral:rRNA from 1 species